GCGAAACGAGCGGUGACCGUCCACUGGACGCCGCACUGGCCGUCACUGGCGAGUGGGAAAAGCGCUUGAUUCGAAAAUGGCCGUCAGCAGCAGCAGUACAGGUCGCCAGUCACUGCAAGUGGAUGGAAGGCUGCGGGUAGUAGGAAGUGAAGCCGGUGGGCAAAUGUACAAACACGAAACGAAACGAAACGAAACGAACGCGGCCAUAAAACGCUUCAAAUUUGCGGCUUUCAGCAACAAACAAAGCAAGAGCAAAGAAGCAGCACAACAACAACAACAACAACAAAAAUCAACAAGCGAUCUUUGUACCUUGGCAGGCCAGAAAAACUGACUGGUGCAGGUUUAAUUGGAGCUGGUCAAAUUCGGAGAAAGGAGAUGGAGGCCGGAACCCAAAUAAGUGAGAUAAACCAGUUCUUCUGAGCUAUGCUACUUGCCCCAUGGUUGCCCGAAUACAAACUUCACCAACUCAAGAAUAUUAACAGCAUUUGACAAUCUUAAAUAUUUCAGUAUUAGAAAGAAACGUCCACGCGAUGGUUGUUUUAAUACAUCAAAUAAAAAGUUGUUAUUGUUUUUUUUU